ACAGACUGAAAAUGACCUCAGAUGUACCAGUGGUCUGUGGUCAGACUCCUGUGCCUAUAGUAUUGUGGUGCUUUAUGCUUAUUGCCUGUUCCUCUCUGUGGCAGCACAAUAAAACCCAUGUGCCAACAAUA